CUCAGAGUGAAGUUCAAUGUUUAUAUGAAUCACACCUAUCUUUUCCUCGAGUUAAAAGCUGCAAAGUAUAGGAGGAGACUCGAAUUUGAUUUCAAAAGUCCGGUGAAAGAUUAACUGCUUAAUAUUAAGUCAUGUAACACCAUAAACACAGUCUUGCAGAUAAACUGCUUGAAGAUUCAGAAGAAUCACUGAAGAUGUGCACAAAACCAGCUUCUUAUUUAUAGACCUUGGGGCCCUUUUCUCUAGGUGCUGUGGACAUUGUGUGCCCCUCUGAUUAGGGAAGCAAUAUAAUAACAGACCAAUUUUGUAAAAAUCUCUAUUAGGAGUUACAUAGCUGUUCCUACUGCUUGUUUUUCUGUGGCCAUUGCAGUGCAAUCGAAAUACUUGCAAAUACUUCUAGUGCAAGCACCCUUAUGUGGAUCGACUCCAAAUCCUUCAGUUGCCCAAUAAAGAGUUCAGAUACAAAUUUUGAAGACUGCAGGAUCUAGAUUUUUUUACAGCUACUGCGAGGCAGCAAACUGACUAUGGGAACCUUCCUGAAAGUCAACCUUUCUGAACUGUGAGAGCUGCUUUUACUGCUUAAGUAUUUCCCAACCUUGUUACUUCAUGAUAUUUGUGACAGCUGUUAUUAAUGCACGCAAGAGACCCCAGCACUGGCAGAAGGGAGAGUGUCUUCACGCUGUUUUGCAACACUGCGCGUUUGAAGUUCCUCAGCUGCGCUGGGAGGAAGUGGUUAUUCAGUUCUGCUGCCAUUUCGCGAAGGAUGAAGCUCCAGUAAACUUUCCCUGCGAGAGUCACCUGGAAACCACAGCGAUAAAACCAAGUAUUUGCCCACUGCCUGCGAAAGGAGAUGCCACCAGCAGGAAACAGGAGCUUAGAAYAAGAUCUUUCAGAUUGCCAGAGACCUCCCAUCGUUCCCAGCGCACCACCUUGUGCAACCUUCAGCUGCCCUGUGUGUUUGCUGCCUACUUGGAAGCUCUCUUCCAAGAAGACCUGCUCUACCAGAGUGUAAAGCUUUGCAGGUGCCCUGGGGGAACGUGGUGGUGUGAUGUCUGGACUCAGAGUGCCCUUUGA
rnacentral:lncRNA from 1 species